GGGGUGCUACCUUUCAUAAGGUGGGCAGGUAGAGAAAGGGGGUACCUUUUGGUUUAUAGAACGGGUGCCAGGGAAGGAGAGGUUAGAAAGAGAGAGUUUAGAGAGAUGGGAUCUUUGGUUUGAUUAUGUCUCGUUCGCGCCGCUACCUAGAUUUUUCGUAUACCCCGGUACCUAGAUCGCAAGGACUAGAUCUAGUCCAACAGGAGCUUAAGUGGGAUUAGUGCUAAACCUAGUUUAGGAGUUAGAAAACUUCAUGUUAAAGACCUAGUCCAACAGGAGCUUAAGUAGGAUUAGUGCUAAACCUAGUUUGGGAGUUAGAAAACUUCAUGUUAAAGACAUACGGAAUACCUCUAGCCUGGCCUCGUGUUGAUACGGGUAGUCCGUCGGGAACGUGUUCUCUACGGCCUCUUCGCCCUCAUUGGGGUAGCGUACAUCGAGUCAUACGCACCGUAGGUUCUUCGACGAAGCUAGCGUCUGAUGUACGAGUCCAGGUACCGUAUCGUAUAUGUAGUACAUGCAGUACCUACGUACGUAUUUUCGUUCGAUCCUGCAUUCUGUCCAAUCAUAAGUAACCUCGUAGUAUACGGCACUAUUUGACCAGUUACGUUCAAUCGUUUGGCAGACUCCUUUUUAUCUGUUGACUACCCUAGAGUUUCUAACUUCUAUGGCACUAAGUCUAACUCGCUCAUGUAGUUUUCCUUAAUUUACUCAUGUUUAUGGCACUAAGGAUUAUAAAUGUUGAGAACCUUAUGUGUCCUAUCUUUUAAAAUUAAAAUCUGAUGCCCCACUCUUCCAGUUGUUAUAAUUACACCUAAGAAAAACAGCACAACAGUAUCAUUGUAGUUGUUGACAGACUAUAAACUAAAAACACAUAAAGUAUAAUUUUCCUACAUUCAUAACAAUAUACGCAUAUAAAUAAAAUAUCCUUUCAAUUAUAGUCCACGUAUGUCUCAUCAACUACAAUAGAUAUCCACGUAUGUCUCAUCAGCAACAGUAGACAUCCACGUUUGUCUCAAAUACACCUAAACUUAUAGUAGUCGAUUAGCACAGGGAAAUGAAGAUGAUACUUCUACCCCACUUUGUAUUUAACUAAACGUUUGUCCCCUUUCUCUCUGGUUUCAUUUUUAAAGUGUCGAGGAUACCUCUACUCCACGAUUAAACGACAUACUUUUUCGUAUCAGACCUCCUUAUGGUUAACAUCGUGAUUUAAUAAUAUACGUGACUUGUGGCUCGUCUUGAGAUAACUUCUUACUUCUACGUACGAGAAUCGAAUAAAGGAACCUUAUUACUACAUGCUACGAAGGUAAACUAAAACUAAACCACAUUUGUAUAUCUAUGUUUAGUUAUGCAAUUAUCGUUUAGGUAUACGGUACCUUAUCUUAAAUACAAACAUCUACUAGAUACAAUCCUCGAGGAAGAUUAAUUUUUCAACAACUCAUUUCGGUUGUCUACUCAUUGAGGAUCUAAUAUUAAAAAAAUAAGGUCCAAUUUAGAUUGUUCUCUGUAGUGGUUGGUUUUUGGAUUGUUGAGUAGUUGAAUCAAUAUUACGAUAGGAUUGACAAUUCUCUGUAUUAUUGAUUUCUUCUAUGUUUAAGAGUAACCCUACUCGAGAUGUUUGUCGACCAUGUACUGUUACAUACACACGACCUUACUCUUUGAGUGUGUGACGCUUUCCAUGCCGGAGACUACGAUACCUGAGACUACAAUAUCUUCGAUACUAAACACUACGAUUAGAACGUACAAGUCUGGACGAUGCUAGUUUAAACGAGUUUAAUAAGGCACCACAUAAUUUAUUGUACGGGAAAACAUCAAACAAAACGACUGUAUAUAUUUUAAAGUAAACCCGGUAAGCAAUGUCAUGAAGUUAAUACACAAGAACUCGCCGCUAAUUAUGUAAUUAUGGCUCCCUCAGGAGAUAGGUCACUAAAACAGCAUGCAUUAUAAUAGAAUGUGUUCAAUGACAGUUAACAUAUUAAACUAGUCACAACAUAAGUCAAUCUUUCCUUAAAGCAAAGUCACUGAUGGGAAGGUUUAAAACAUGGUUAUUAUCAACAGAAAACAUUUCUAUAAAGAGAUUUAUAAAAUGAAGUACUAGUCACCAGAUCGACCGUGUUAAGAGAUUAUAUAAUAUAUUUAGUAAAAUUGAAAAGUUUCACUGGCCUAAGAUAUAUCUAACAACCAAUAACACACGAUAUCAACAAAAUCAUCACGAGCGUGUGUAAUUACCUACUAAAAAAAUGUCUGGAGAGGAAGUUAUGAAAAAAUUAUACCACUACUUUAAGGCUUCUUGUUAAGAAUACGGGUACCAUACUGGACCAUUAAAGGAAUCAUUCCUCUAAGAGGAAUAGUCAUCACUUUAGAAUCCAACAGAGAUUUGAUCUUUCUUCUUUGUGUACUACCACGACGUAUCCUGGAGAGUCGAAAGGAAAAACCCUUUUAAAUAAUCCACCGUGUACAUAGUUUGAAUAUUCUGUAUUCAUUAUAAACAGACGAAGAAAAACAUGGACUAAGUCUUAAUGCUUGCGUAAUUUAUUUAACAUAAAAAACCUGUACCUUAUAGAGUUGAUUCUCGGAAAGUGUUUUAUACGUCCCGUGACUCAUUACUCAUUACGUUCGAACCCAGAACCAUCACCCUAUUUACCUUUUAGUAUAGCUAAUUAUUGAUUUAUGUUUUGAUUUAAACGUCCAACCGGCCGCUCGCGACCGUGGUUGGUCUCCUACGUAACCGCGUGUCUCUUCACGGUCAAGUACGGCUACUCGCUACUAACAGUUACCUCUAAUGUACACCGACGCCUUCGUAUUUUUCGUACCACUAUUCUUUCCUAACUAGUCCAAACAUAACAGACUGCGUAAACACGUUCUUGGUUCAUUAACGAUGUCACGGUCAAUCCAACGAGACCCUCCUGAAGAAAGACGGUAUUCCUAAUUUCGUGGAACUAACUAAGUACCUCCUGCGUGGUUUGUUCCUAAUAAAUGAUGACCUAGAUGGCCGGUCUUUUUGUCUCGUGUGCGGGCACUAACGGGUUCAGGCCUUCCCUGUUCCGGUGAUACAUUAUAUAUAGGGUCAAUCGAGGUUGUGAAUUCAAGGACACGGAGGACUACAAUAAGUGAUUGAUCUGAAUCCUUACACUCUUUGCAGUAAAACAUUAUACGGAACGACCUCGUUCUAACUUAACGACCUGGUUCCAGAUGUAGAUAUAAGGGAAUACAAAAAGUGAAUGCAGGAAAAAAAGGUGGGUAAAAAUACCGUAAGGCUCGUUUUCUUUUUUCGCUCCUACGAAAAUUUAAUGUUCGUUCUUUUUACAUAACUGUCAU
rnacentral:rRNA from 1 species